rnacentral:rRNA from 1 species
GACGAACGCUGGCGGCGUGCUUAACACAUGCAAGUCGAACGAAGAGCGACGGAAGCUUGCUUCUAUCAAUCUUAGUGGCGAACGGGUGAGUAACGCGUAAUCAACCUGCCCUUCAGAGGGGGACAACAGUUGGAAACGACUGCUAAUACCGCAUACGAUCUAACCUCGGCAUCGAGGAUAGAUGAAAGGUGGCCUCUACAUGUAAGCUAUCACUGAAGGAGGGGAUUGCGUCUGAUUAGCUAGUUGGAGGGGUAACGGCCCACCAAGGCGAUGAUCAGUAGCCGGUCUGAGAGGAUGAACGGCCACAUUGGGACUGAGACACGGCCCAGACUCCUACGGGAGGCAGCAGUGGGGAAUCUUCCGAAAUGGACGAAAGUCUGACGGAGCAACGCCGCGUGAGUGAUGACGGCCUUCGGGUUGUAAAGCUCUGUUAAUCGGGACGAAAGGCCUUCUUGCGAAUAGUGAGAAGGAUUGACGGUACCGGAAGAGAAAGCCACGGCUAACUACGUG